rnacentral:rRNA from 1 species
CCAGCUCCAAUAGCGUAUAUGAAAGUUGUUGCAGUUAAAAAGCUCGUAGUUGGAUUUCGGAUCGCCUUGGAUGUGGUCCACCGAAACGGUGAGUACUGCGCCAAGGUAUCCUUCCUUGGGUUCAGUCGCAGCCUCGCAAGGGGUUGUUGGCUACCCAUCGUUUACUUUGAGAAAAUUAGAGUGUUCAAAGCAGGCGUAACCCAGCCUUGAAUACGUUAGCAUGGGAUAAUAAAACAGGACGGGAGUCCUAUUUUGUUGGUUUCUAGGGCUUUUGUAAUGAUUAAAAGGGACAGUUGGGGGCAUUUGUAUUCAGUUGUCAGAGGUGAAAUUCUAGGAUUAACUGAAGACAAACUACUGCGAAAGCAUUUGCCAAGGAUGUUUUCA